GACAGAGGGUGCGAACGUUGUUCGGAAUUACUGGGCGUAAAGGGCGCGUAGGCGGCCUUCUAAGUCAGACGUGAAACCCCCGGCUUAACCUGGGAACUGCGUCUGAUACUGGAGGGCUUGAGUGCGGGAGAGGGAUGUGGAAUUCCAGGUGUAGCGGUGAAAUGCGUAGAUAUCUGGAGGAACACCGGUGGCGAAGGCGGCAUCCUGGACCGACACUGACGCUGAGGCGCGAAAGCUAGGGUAGCAAACGGGG
rnacentral:rRNA from 1 species